UCCCUCCUCUUGCUUACUACAGGCUGUGUUCUUACAUUAACUGUACAGAAAGAGGGAGCAGAAUAAACAGACCCCAUAUACAUUUCAACCCAGGCCCUGUGCCUUCUCUGUCUUGUGAAUGGGGAAACAUGG
ensembl:snoRNA